rnacentral:rRNA from 1 species
UACGUAGGACCCACGCGUUUUCCGGAUUCACUGGGUAUAAAGGGUGCGUAGGCGGUCUUGUGCGUCAGAGGUGAAAUAUCCGGGCUCAACCCGGAGGGUGCCUUUGAUACGGCAGGACUUGAGUGCGAGAGAGGAUGAUGGAAUUCCUGGUGUAGCGGUGAAAUGCGUAGAUAUCAGGAGGAACACCGGUGGCGAAGGCUGUCAUCUGGCUCGAAACUGACGCUGAGGCACGAAAGCGUGUGGAUCAAACAGG